rnacentral:rRNA from 1 species
UACGUAGGGGCCGAGCGUUGUCCGGAGUUACUGGGCGUAAAGCGCGCGCAGGCGGCCCGUUAAGCCUACCGUGAAAGCCCCCGGCUCAACCGGGGAGGGUCGGUGGGGACUGGCGGGCUUGAGGACGGCAGGGGCCGGUGAAUCCCCGGUGUAGUGGUGAAAUGCGUAGAGAUCGGGGGGAACACCCGUGGCGAAGGCGGCCGGCUGGGCCGGACCUGACGCUGAGGCGCGAAGGCGUGGGGAGCGAACGGGAUUAGAAACCCCCGUAGUCC